CUUUGGGGUGUGACUGCGUACCUUUUGUAUAAUGGGUCAGCGACUUAUAUUCUGUAGCAAGGUUAACCGAAUAGGGGAGCCGGAGGGAAACCGAGUCUUAAUUGGGCGUUAAGUUGCAGGGUAUAGACCCGAAACCCGGUGAUCUAGCCAUGGGCAGGUUGAAGGUUGGGUAACACUAACUGGAGGACCGAACCGACUAAUGUUGAAAAAUUAGCGGAUGACCUGUGGCUGGGGGUGAAAGGCCAAUCAAACCGGGAGAUAGCUGGUUCUCCCCGAAAGCUAUUUAGGUAGCGCCUCGUGAAUUCAUCUCCGGGGGUAGAGCACUGUUUCGGCUAGGGGGCCAUCCCGGCUUACCAACCCGAUGCAAACUGCGAAUACCGGAGAAUGUUAUCACGGGAGACACACGGCGGGUGCUAACGUCCGUCGUGAAGAGGGAAACAACCCAGACCGCCAGCUAAGGUCCCAAAGUCAUGGUUAAGUGGGAAACGAUGUGGGAAGGCCCAGACAGCCAGGAUGUUGGCUUAGAAGCAGCCAUCAUUUAAAGAAAGCGUAAUAGCUCACUGGUCGAGUCGGCCUGCGCGGAAGAUGUAACGGGGCUAAACCAUGCACCGAAGCUGCGGCAGCGACGCUGAUGCGUUGUUGGGUAGGGGAGCGUUCUGUAAGCCUGCGAAGGUGGCCUGUGAGGGUUGCUGGAGGUAUCA
rnacentral:rRNA from 1 species